rnacentral:ncRNA from 12 species
GCCACUGUGGCGCAAUGGUUAGCGUAUUGGGCUGUUAACCCAACGGUUGGCGGUUCGAGUCCGUCCAGUGGCG